rnacentral:misc_RNA from 1 species
GAUGAAGAACGUAGCGAAAUGCGAUAAGUAGUGUGCAUUGCAGAAUUCAGUGAAUCAUCGAAUCUUUGAACGCACAUUGCGCCCCAUGGUAUUCCGUGGGGCAUGCCUGUUCGAGCGUCAUUUACCCCCUCAAGCUCCGCUUGGUGUUGGGCGUCUGUCCCGCUUCGCGCGCGGACUCGCCCCAAAGGUAUUGGCAGCGGUCGUGCCAGCUUCUCGCGCAGCACAUUGCGCUUCUCGAGGCACCGGUGGGCCCGCGUCCAUCAAGCUCACCCCCCCAGUUUGACCUCGGAUCAGGUAGGGAUACCCGCUGAACUUAAGCAUAUCAAUAAGCGGAGGA